GCCCCCGUAGUUAAAUGGAUAUAACGGGCCCCUCCUAAGGGCCAGUUAUCGGUUCGAUUCCGGUCGGGGGUGCCA
rnacentral:tRNA from 1 species